AUUGAACGCUGGCGGCAGGCCUAACACAUGCAAGUCGAACGAGUGGCGGACGGGUGAGUAAUGUCUGGGAAACUGCCCGAUGGAGGGGGCUAACUACUGGAAACGGUAGCUAAUACCGCAUACCCUCGGAUGUGCCCAGAUGGGAUUAGCUAGUAGGUGGGGUAACGGCUCACCUAGGCGACGAUCCCUAGCUGGUCUGCGAGGAUGACCAGCCACACGGGAACUGAGACACGGUCCAUAUGCCUACGAGAGGCAGCAGUGUGGAAUAUUGCACAAUGGGGGCAAGCCUGAUGCAGCCAUGCCGCGUGUAUGAAGAAGGCCUUCGGGUUGUAAAGUAAUUUCAGCGAGGAGGCGUUACUCGCAGAAGAAGCACCGGCUAACUCCGUGCCAGCAGCCGCGGUAAUAC
rnacentral:rRNA from 1 species